GAUGAAGAACGCAGCGAAAUGCGAUACGUAAUGUGAAUUGCAGAAUUCAGUGAAUCAUCGAGUCUUUGAACGCACAUUGCGCCCCCUGGUAUUCCGGGGGGCAUGCCUGUCCGAGCGUCAUUGCUGCCCUCAAGCACGGCUUGUGUGUUGGGCCUCCGUCCUCCUCCCGGGGGACGGGCCCGAAAGGCAGGGGCGGCACCGCGUCCGGUCCUCGAGCGUAUGGGGCUUCGUCACCCGCUCUUGUAGGCCCGGCCGGCGCUUGCCGACACAUCAAUCUUUUUUCCAGGUUGACCUCGGAUCAGGUAGGGAUACCCGCUGAACUUAAGCAUAUCAAUAAGCGGAGGA
rnacentral:misc_RNA from 1 species